GUGUGUGUGUGCGCGCGCGCGUGCGCGUGUGCGCGUGUGUGUGCAUGUGUUUGUUUCAUUUCAAUGUAAUGUGUGUGUGUGUGUGCACGCGUGCUUGUUUGUUUCAUUUCAAUGCAAUGUGUGUGCUUGCGCGUGUGCGUGCAUGUGUGUUUAAAGAUCUGAAUAUUUAUGGAUCAACAAAGAAAAUAAAGGCACAGUAUGCUGAAUAAUUUCCUUUGUAACUUUGCAGACGCUUUUGAGAUGAGCCAUGGU
rnacentral:misc_RNA from 1 species